rnacentral:rRNA from 1 species
UACGUAGGGUGCGAGCGUUUAAUCGGAAUUACUGGGCGUAAAGCGUGCGCAGGCGGCGCGUUAAGACAGGUGUGAAAGCCCCGAGCUUAACUUGGGAAUUGCGCUUGUGACUGGCGAGCUGGAGUGUGGCAGAGGGAGGUGGAAUUCCACGUGUAGCAGUGAAAUGCGUAGAGAUGUGGAGGAACACCGAUGGCGAAGGCAGCCUCCUGGGCCGGCACUGACGCUCAUGCACGAAAGCGUGGGGAGCAAACAGG